rnacentral:lncRNA from 1 species
UACAGAACAAUACGAACCCCUGGCAUAAGCAGGCUUGUGAACACAAGGAACUCUCUUACCACUGCCACCUUAUCUACUGCCUCUUUGUGAAGACAAUUUCUGAACUGGUGAGAGCAGUGUGAGUGCCCUCAAGUAGCCUGCUGCCUGAGGUCCGCAUGCAACCUGCCUCAGGACCUCACAUGCACCAGAGAUCCGCAGGGCCAGAAUGUCACAUGUCGCAACACAUACAUAGUCCUUCACUGGAAGAACUGAUUGCCCUGAAUGUCAACGGCCUUCCUCUCGAGAAAUAUUGGCUGCACUAUACCUGCAUGAGAUGGUUUGUACCCCCUCAGGCUCGUCCAUCUGCAAGCUGUAGCCAUUUGUCCCAGCUCUUGCUCAGACCAAUGUCACACAGGCACAACUGGACAACGUCCACUUCACACUUCCAUCAUGAAGCAUGAACACCCACGAGGCAGAUGUUUGACCAGUGAGAGGCUGGAGCCAGUAGAAAAAUGUGUCUUGCUUUCAUCCCCUGAAAGACUGUCCUGAGAAAGAGUUGUUUAUAUAAGCUGUGUUCAGGCAUUCCUGUUACAUGAAUAGAUAAGUAAUUUAAAUGUAUGCGUGCAUACAAGUAAAAAGGUAAAAGGGUCUAAGGAAUGUAGGCAUCAGAGAGAGCAGGAGACAAUAAAACUACAAACAUCAAUUUUUAAUUGUGCAGAUUACACAAAGUUUAAGACACAGAAAGCUUGGUUUAUUUUUAGAGUACUGUAUUGCUUUUGCUUUUCUGAAAAUGUGGACAAAUUGGAAAAGGUUCAAACUAUAAAGUUAAUGAUUAAGGAGAUGGAAGAAUUGGCUUAAAGGAGAGAAAACACAUUGUCAGGACCAGAGCAACUCUCAGCUUGACUCUACCUCUGGCUGCGGGAGAAGAUUGUAACUUGAACAUACCACAAGAGUGGGAAUACCCUGGAGUGAGAGGCUGGUUUCCACCUGGUCAAUUGGCUUAGACUAGAACACCACGGCAUCCCUAACCUCAGGCAGCUGGAAUAAAUGAAGGCAUGGCAGUGGGCUCUCCCACCAGGAUCCAGAAGCCACAGGCCAACUACAGCAGUCCUUCGGCCAUCAGGGAUGCUCACCAUUGUCACAGACGAUGGGAGUCCUGGCACAGACCUUCACACCAUGUCACUCCUGUCUCACCAAGAAGCUUGGAAGGAAAUGUCAGCAGGACUAUAAUUGCUGAGUCCUGGGGACAACAGUGCCACUUCCCAAGAAAAUGGGACUGUUUUCAAGCUGUAAAAUCAAUUGUAAAAGAAAUAGCUCUUG